GAUGAACGCUGGCGGCGUGCCUAAUACAUGCAAGUCGAGCGAACGGACGAGAAGCUUGCUUCUCUGAUGUUAGCGGCGGACGGGUGAGUAACACGUGGAUAACCUACCUAUAAGACUGGGAUAACUUCGGGAAACCGGAGCUAAUACCGGAUAAUAUUUUGAACCGCAUGGUUCAAAAGUGAAAGACGGUCUUGCUGUCACUUAUAGAUGGAUCCGCGCUGCAUUAGCUAGUUGGUAAGGUAACGGCUUACCAAGGCAACGAUGCAUAGCCGACCUGAGAGGGUGAUCGGCCACACUGGAACUGAGACACGGUCCAGACUCCUACGGGAGGCAGCAGUAGGGAAUCUUCCGCAAUGGGCGAAAGCCUGACGGAGCAACGCCGCGUGAGUGAUGAAGGUCUUCGGAUCGUAAAACUCUGUUAUUAGGGAAGAACAUAUGCGUAAGUAACUGUGCACAUCUUGACGGUACCUAAUCAGAAAGCCACGGCUAACUACGU
rnacentral:rRNA from 1 species